AGGUCAGUCACGAAAAAUAAAAUAUAUAUUGGACUGUACUGGUAAUAUAGGUCAGUCACGAAGAAUAGAAUGAUAUUGGACUGUACUGGUAAUAGAGGUCAGUCAAAAAAAAGAAAUAUAUAUUGGACUGUACUGGUAAUAUAGGUCAGUCACGAAAAUAUCUGAAAGUCUGUGCCCCAUUGUUGACGAAUAUAAUAUCGUGAGGACUUUAUCAAUAGUCACGGUCCCUGGCCCCUCCCACAUAAAAAUCAUUAGCAAGGUCACUGCAGGCAAUAGCUUCAGCAUUGUUAUUGUAUAAACGUGUCUUAAACAUUAUAAACGGCCCUAUUUGUGGGGUUACAUUGGGUUCUUGCUGGGGUAAUGAUGUCCAUGUCCGAUUCUGCGUUUUGUGGACUUGUAAAUCAGUCCAGCAGUGACAUUGCGUUUUGUGGACAUGUAAGUCUGUCCCGCAGUACCAAGUUUCACCCCAGCAAUUACCAAUAAGACCUGCACGUGACCUUAAAGUAAAUAGCUAUGCAAGUGUGGUCGAGACAAAACGCGAUGUAUUCAUUAGAAGAAGGAAAUCUACGAAGAGGAGCUGGAACUGUCUGUCCAGCUCUCGUUUAUGAAACAGUGGGCGAUUUGAAAGACGUCUCCUGAACAGAUCGCCCAUUGUUCACUGAAGCAGCAUUCGAAUUGUCUCCAAUUUUUUCAGGUGGAUUGCUCCAUCUCGUGUGGUUUCGCUGUCCCGUCCCAAGAAUCGAGCCAAUGCGACCGAGGCCACUUCUGAGAGACAAAUAUUCAGGAUGCCAGAUUUGUGGAACACAUGAGGCCAGUAGUCAAGAGCCAUGAUCAGGGAACAGCAGUUCCCAACGGAAUUGACCCUUUUCUUGUUGUAAUUCAUGCUGUUGGCUCAGAAUGGGUUGACACUCGCCUGUUUUCGACCCUGAAAAUUCAACAUCGAACAUUGUUACUCUUUGUUAAAAGUGAACCUUGCAAAAUAUGUGCUUAUUCCUGAAAUCAAUAGCACUUCAUGUAUGUACUCGCUGAUCCAGAAUAUUGCUAUUUCUUGUUCCGUUUUCAAUGUGGCAAUCCAUUUACCGUAUCUGAGCUAUUUCACAGCACAAGAAGUGCAACAUUACAGCAAUGGAGCUAUUUCUUCAUCACGGCAAAAAUGUGUUUCUACAUUGUUUUACUCAAAUGAUGCAUGGAUGAGCCUUAUUGAUAUAUUUGUUUUCAAGAGGAAUUGGUUGUAGGUUUUCUUUCUUUUUUCUUAAGGCAGGCCUAAUUUAACAGAAGGCCUAAAUUUUAGGUAGGAUAUUAUUUCUACUAUAGGCCCAUAUCAGUUUUGAGAUCAAUUUCCUCUUGAAGACAAUAAACGUCAAUCGAGUCUCGGCACCAUUUUGAUUGGGCGGUUUUGGGCUAAAAUACAGUACAAGAGAAUGCUCCAUUGGUGUUAACAGAAUAUGUCAUUGUUUUGGUCAGCAAGCAGUUCUUGCCACCUUGAAAGCGGUCACGGUUACUUACGACUUGUACAUUGUUCAAUUGUUAUUAUGCUAUUGUCAUUUGCCUUUGCCCCCCCCCCCCCCCCUCCUUAUCGACACUCACAGUGCACCACCCUCCAUCCCAUGCCCCGCAUGCGCACUGACCCAACAUCUGAUCCCUUGACACGCUUGCUCAAGCGGCUCAAGCGGCGUCAGCAGUAUCAACGUUGUGUUAUUGUAUUCCAAGUUUUGCAUUAUUCAUAUGUAUGUACUUGCCAAAUAAAUGUUGUCAUAUCAUAA